ACUCAAAUAGUCAAGUGGUCAAGACGCCUAUACAAGGAUAAAUCUCAUCUUUCAAGGAGGCGGGGGUUUGAUUCCUUCUUUGAGGG